AUGGCCAUACUACAUUGAAAACAUCUGUUCUCGUCCCAUCACCUAAGUUAAGCAAUGUCGUGCCUGAUCAGUACUUGGGAGGGUGACCACUUGGUAACAGGUAAUACUGUAGGCU